GACAGAGGGUGCAAACGUUGUUCGGAUUUACUGGGCGUAAAGCGCGCGUAGGCGGCUUUGCAAGUCGGAUGUGAAAGCCCACGGCUCAACCGUGGAAGUGCAUCCGAAACUGCAUGGCUGGAGUCUCGGAGAGGAAGGUGGAAUGCCUGGUGUAGAGGUGAAAUUCGUAGAUAUCAAGCAGAACACCUGCGGCGAAGGCGGCCUUCUGGACGAUGACUGACGCUGAGACGCGAAAGCGUGGGGAGCAAACAGG
rnacentral:rRNA from 1 species